rnacentral:rRNA from 1 species
GAUGAACGCUGGCGGCGUGCUUAACUCAUGCAAGUCGAACGAUGAAGCCGGAGCUUGCUCUGGUGGAUUAGUGGCGAACGGGUGAGUAACACGUGAGUAACCUGCCCUUGACUCUGGGAUAAGCGCUGGAAACGGCGUCUAAUACCGGAUACGAGCUUCCACCGCAUGGUGAGUUGCUGGAAAGAAUUUCGGUCAAGGAUGGACUCGCGGCCUAUCAGCUUGUUGGUGAGGUAACGGCUCACCAAGGCGACGACGGGUAGCCGGCCUGAGAGGAUGACCGGCCACACUGGGACUGAGACACGGCCCAGACUCCUACGGGAGGCAGCAGUGGGGAAUAUUGCACAAUGGGCGCAAGCCUGAUGCAGCAACGCCGCGUGAGGGACGAAGGCCUUCGGGUCGUAAACCUCUUUUAGCAGGGAAGAAGCGAAAGUGACGGUACCUGCAGAAAAAGCACCGGCUAACUACGUGCCAGCCGCCGCAGUAA